CGCGUAACAGUGUCAUGGUAUUCGAGGCUGACUGUUUGAGUCGAGGAGCUCACGUUGGGGUGAGAAUGCUGGAGAAAUUAGGGACCUCGAGUGAGACGCUAAUAACUUGAUGCUAACGGAUCAUUUUUGGAAUCGCUGGGACCUCUUCUGCGGCGUAUCGCCCACAUUCACGAGAAUAUCGAGGCAUCUCUGUUGGAAGCAAUUAUCGGACACUCCUGCAACGUAAUGUGUCCCACACUGGACUAUUUAACUCUGUGGAAAUCACCUUCUUUCCUCUCGACCUAUUGGUUGAACAACGCUGGACUUGGCGGAGUUUUGAAAUGCGCGAUAGUCAGCGAACUGAGGAAUCCUGGGGACUGGUUGAGAACCACUGACGACGAGAUUCGUUGAAUUCAUUAUCACGUGGGACCUCGCUGCUGGCUGUUGCACGCUUCGAGAC